rnacentral:rRNA from 1 species
AGUGAACGCUGGCGGUAGGCCUAACACAUGCAAGUCGAACGGCAGCACAGUAAGAGCUUGCUCUUACGGGUGGCGAGUGGCGGACGGGUGAGGAAUACAUCGGAAUCUACUUUUUCGUGGGGGAUAACGUAGGGAAACUUACGCUAAUACCGCAUACGACCUACGGGUGAAAGCAGUGGAUCUUCGGACCUUGCGCGAUUGAAUGAGCCGAUGUCGGAUUAGCUAGUUGGCAGGGUAAAGGCCCACCAAGGCGACGAUCCGUAGCUGGUCUGAGAGGAUGAUCAGCCACACUGGAACUGAGACACGGUCCAGACUCCUACGGGAGGCAGCAGUGGGGAAUAUUGGACAAUGGGCGCAAGCCUGAUCCAGCCAUACCGCGUGGGUGAAGAAGGCCUUCGGGUCGUAAAGCCCUUUUGUUGGGAAAGAAAAGCAGCAGGUUAAUACCCCGCUGUUCUGACGGUACCCAAUGAAUAAGCACCGGCUAACUUCGUG